rnacentral:rRNA from 1 species
AGAGUUUGAUCAUGGCUCAGAUUGAACGCUGGCGGCAGGCCUAACACAUGCAAGUCGAACGGUAGCAGGAAGAAGCUUGCUUCUUUGCUGACGAGUGGCGGACGGGGGAGUAAUGUCUGGGAAACUGCCUGAUGGAGGGGGAUAACUACUGGAAACGGUAGCUAAUACCGCAUAACGUCGCAAGACCAAAGAGGGGGACCUUCGGGCCUCUUGCCAUCGGAUGUGCCCAGAUGGGAUUAGCUAGUAGGUGGGGUAACGGCUCACCUAGGCGACGAUCCCUAGCUGGUCUGAGAGGAUGACCAGCCACACUGGAACUGAGACACGGUCCAGACUCCUACGGGAGGCAGCAGUGGGGAAUAUUGCACAAUGGGCGCAAGCCUGAUGCAGCCAUGCCGCGUGUAUGAAGAAGGCCUUCGGGUUGUAAAGUACUUUCAGCGGGGAGGAAGGGAGUAAAGUUAAUACCUUUGCUCAUUGACGUUACCCGCAGAAGAAGCACCGGCUAACUCCGUGCCAGCAGCCGCGGUAAUACGGAGGGUGCAAGCGUUAAUCGGAAUUACUGGGCGUAAAGCGCACGCAGGCGGUUUGUUAAGUCAGAUGUGAAAUCCCCGGGCUCAACCUGGGAACUGCAUCUGAUACUGGCAAGCUUGAGUCUCGUAGAGGGGGGUAGAAUUCCAGGUGUAGCGGUGAAAUGCGUAGAGAUCUGGAGGAAUACCGGUGGCGAAGGCGGCCCCCUGGACGAAGACUGACGCUCAGGUGCGAAAGCGUGGGGAGCAAACAGGAUUAGAUACCCUGGUAGUCCACGCCGUAAACGAUGUCGACUUGGAGGUUGUGCCCUUGAGGCGUGGCUUCCGGAGCUAACGCGUUAAGUCGACCGCCUGGGGAGUACGGCCGCAAGGUUAAAACUCAAAUGAAUUGACGGGGGCCCGCACAAGCGGUGGAGCAUGUGGUUUAAUUCGAUGCAACGCGAAGAACCUUACCUGGUCUUGACAUCCACAGAACUUUCCAGAGAUGGAUUGGUGCCUUCGGGAACUGUGAGACAGGUGCUGCAUGGCUGUCGUCAGCUCGUGUUGUGAAAUGUUGGGUUAAGUCCCGCAACGAGCGCAACCCUUAUCCUUUGUUGCCAGCGGUCCGGCCGGGAACUCAAAGGAGACUGCCAGUGAUAAACUGGAGGAAGGUGGGGAUGACGUCAAGUCAUCAUGGCCCUUACGACCAGGGCUACACACGUGCUACAAUGGCGCAUACAAAGAGAAGCGACCUCGCGAGAGCAAGCGGACCUCAUAAAGUGCGUCGUAGUCCGGAUUGGAGUCUGCAACUCGACUCCAUGAAGUCGGAAUCGCUAGUAAUCGUGGAUCAGAAUGCCACGGUGAAUACGUUCCCGGGCCUUGUACACACCGCCCGUCACACCAUGGGAGUGGGUUGCAAAAGAAGUAGGUAGCUUAACCUUCGGGAGGGCGCUUACCACUUUGUGAUUCAUGACUGGGGUGAAGUCGUAACAAGGUAACCGUAGGGGAACCUGCGGUUGGAUCACCU